UGAAUUCAAAUUUCAAAUUGAAGUUCUUAACUAAAAAUAAUUUAAUUAAAAUUUAAAAUUUAAAAUUUAAAUUUAAAUUCUAUAAUUCAAAUUUAAAUAAAAAUUAAAUUUAAAUAUAAAGUCAUAAAUUUGCAUUUAAAAUUUUAUAUUGAAUUUUAAUUAAUAAAUAAAAUUCAAAAUGUGAUCAUAAUUUUAAUUCAAAUUUAAAGUAAAAUUAAACUUUAAAAAUAAAUUUAAAUAUUAAAGUUAAGACCAAAUAUAACCUCUUAGCUAAGCUCUCCACUUUCGUUGACUUCCGAAUUUUUUGAGCUGAAGUCAAAAAAGUGAGAUUUAGUUAUAACUUACUUUAUUAGUCCACUUUCGUAAAGUGACUUUUAUAUUCACUUUCAUUAUCAAAACAACCAGUAAGACGUCACUUUUUAAAAGUAUCACUUUCUAAAAAUAUCACUUUUAAUACUACACUUUUGACGAACCAAACAUGCCCUUAAUAUUACUAGCUAUUUGGUCUUUUUUCAAUCACACAUCCUUAGAAAAUUGAUCACUUACCCAAUUAGAAUACCUCUAAGAUACAUGUAUAGAGAGAGUGCACACGCAAAACUAUUACGCUUUGAAAGUACAAUAGCCUCUAUACUUUCAAAUUAUUUUUGAUAAUAAGAAUACGGGAUAUUCAAUUCAAAUCGUUUCUAUUAAAUAUAAUUUACAUGUUGAAAUUAUAUAAAAGUUGAAUUUUAUAUUCAUUUUAUUUGGCUAGUAAACGAGUUGUCUCAAAAUAAACGAUUAAAAAUAAAAAUUUUAUAAAAAAAAUAGUGAUAAAUAAUAAAUUUUAAAUCAGCAGUAUUGAUCUUGUUUUUAAUAAUAAGUAUAAUUUUUUAUUAAAAUUCAAUCUAAUUUGAAUUAUUUUAUACCGUCAAAGUUACAAACGUGACACAUCCGUAAGUAAAAUAAUUAUUUUUAAGACUUUUUGAUCACUUGAGUAAAAAAAUUUGUUACCUUUUUUUUUCAUGAUAAAGG
rnacentral:lncRNA from 1 species